UUGUAGCAUUCGCCUACCGGUCCUGUGAGUUAAAAGGGAACCCAGUGGAAAUCUGGGGCUGACGCGCAGCGGUAAGGAAGGUGAGAAAUGAGCGCACUCGGUGCAGACACUGCGGCUAGCCGUGGGAAGUCAUUAUUUCUUGAAACAGCCUCCAAGCCCGAAGACCUGCCGGAAUACGUCGCACUGGG
rnacentral:ncRNA from 20 species